CACCUAUUGCUGCAGAUCAGCGCUGUCACGCAGCCUGUGUUUCUGGAGUAGAGGCAGGGAAGCAGACUAUACAGAAAGCAAAUUCUGCCUUAGGUUUUCAGGAUGCUCAGCUAGAUGAUGUUAUCAGGCAAACACAGAACUUCAUCCUCAAGCUUUGACAGGAGAAAGCAAAACCAAACCUGGUUUGAUACCAGAGAGACACUGUCUAUUUGAAAUAGAGCCAGCUUUUGAAAACAAGUUAGAAGUCAUCUCCUUGCCAAUUUUUGUGGGUGUUCAUCGUGCCUGGAUAGCAAGAAAAUUCCUGCAGGGAAUCUCAUGAAUGUCAGAGCUAGCAGAAAACAGAAGCAAGAUAUCAGCAUGUUCAAUGGCUGCAUUCCCCUGAGUGGAGGAAAAGUACCUGGGAAAGCAGUGAGAGGAGAGAUGAGGAGCAGCCUGCUGCAGAAAGAACUGCUGUCUAGAAGAGAACAUAUCAGGACAACUGCCAGCAUACUGAGCGAGAGGUGUUGGGAGUGUUUGUUGUUCACACUUAACAACCUGAUGUGAUUUAUCGUGCUUUUAUUUCGUCUCCCUCCAAAGAUGUUAUGUCUGUUUAAAUACAGUUUUCACUCUGUUGCUCACUACCGGAGAUGCUUCACUCAAGGAGCCCCAGGUAAUACAAUGCAGCUUCUCCCUGGAAGCCCAAAAUAGUGUUUAAAUGCUUUUCUGCAAAGACUCCGUAAAAAUUGAACACAACCUCUGCUUCGUUAGUCAGUUUGUGGCAGAACAGCAGCAAAGCCUGUCUGAACUUGAAUCUUAUGGCUGUAUUAAGACAUAUUUUUUCACAGUAAAGACAUAGACUUGGACUCCAUCAUCUCAGAAUAAAAGAGCAUAUCA
ensembl:lncRNA